rnacentral:misc_RNA from 1 species
UGCUCUCUCUCUCUCUCUCUCCCUAACCUUUUUGUCACUAAUUGCUUGAUGAGGUAUUAAGAGUUGGAUUAUAUGACUAUUUGUCUAUUUUGGGCUCAUCUAUGACUACAAGAUGAUCACAGAAGGACAAAAUUUAAAAAUAACCGGUGCCAAGUACUUGGUUUUGCUCGUCAUUCUAGCCUGAGAAACUGACAUCACUUGAAUUUCAUUAUUAUCAUAUUAGCUCGGUCCUGUCGCAUGUCUUGAUUGAGUUUGCUUUUUGUAGGAUGCGAAUCUUGUCUCUCGUCCCCUUAGAAUCUCGAGAACAAUUGCAAGACA